rnacentral:rRNA from 1 species
AUGCUCAUCUCCUGGGAGAUUUGGUCGGAGCGCAAUGCUAGAAUUUUCUACAAUACGGCUGCUCCGUCGGCGGUCCUUGUUAGUAAGUUUAAAGAGGAGUUGUCUCUUUGGGCUUUGGUGGGCGCCAAGCACUUGAGUAUUGUAAUGGCGCAAGAGUAG